rnacentral:lncRNA from 10 species
CUGUUUGGAACCUGGGAUUCAAAUGGCCUGGCAGGAAGUGCUCUAGCAGAGGGACUCUGGCCUUGCAAGAGUCCCUAUUUCCCCCUUUUUUUUUGCUUUUCACACAGUAAAACCCUGCUUUACUUCCCUUUGAGUCGUCUGUGAGCCUAAAUUUUUGUGGCUGUGGGAAGGACAAGAACCCCAUCUUUAGCUGAAAUAAGGAAAAGUUCCGCAACAUUUUUGGCACACACCCUGGGGGCUCCGGAAGUGGAAUGCUGUCGGAACUGGACCUUGAUGAAGGAAAUACUUUCUGACUCAUUGGAAUUUGUUAUAGUCAAAUUUGCCUAUGUGAUAACUUAGGUCUUCACGAUGGCCCAGAGUAAGACGACGCAGGAGGACCCUUCUAGUCAUUUAAUUAUUGCUUGACCAGAACUGUGCCUUGUAAGGUGUUUCCAGACCUAAGAAUAACAGGAACAUGGAGGAGUGGCAUCUCCAGUGUAGCCACCCACCAAAGCCUCAUCCUGAACACUAUGGCCUAGUGGGUCACUUACAGGGAUGUAGCUGGCAUUGAUGUAGUCAGAGCAAGGAUCAUCAUCUACAUUGGAGAGCUUCACUCGCGUGGCAUCAUCUGGAAGGAGAGAUUUGCUGCUGAGUCUUGGAGUGACUUUUCUACAGUUUAUGUGAUGUGUGUGAUGUGCCUUAGCUCUGAUCCCCACAACAGCCACAGAUGGGAAGUGAUCUUAUCUCCAUUUUGCAGAUGAGGCUCAGGCAGGAUAACUAACUUGCCCCAUGUUGCAUAGGUGGCCUAUAACCAGUCAGACACAGGAGACAACAUGAAGCCCCAUCUGUGCUUCCCUUUCUGACAUUACCACAUUUGCCUGAUGGAGUGGCCAGCUCCCUUUCACUGCUGGAAUGAAUACAAUCCAGAAAACCUACCUUCUAUUGCUUUACCUAAUGGGGUAAGGAAAUUUAAGUAGAAAUUGCUAACCGAAGACUUUGCUAAGCAAACCCAGGUCUGCUUGAUGUCAGAGCCCUUGCUGUUAACCCCAUUUACUGCUUAGCCUCCAAAGAGAAGCAAUAGCAUCACAUGGGGAAAUGUCAACAGCAUAAGAGGACUUUCAUAAUCAGAAUUUAAACUGGCUAUUAUCCCUCUGGAGGGAAGUGCAGGAAUAUACAAGCUAUUUCUUAUUAAAGGCAUUCAGAGCUUGAGAUUGUCCAUAUCGAGCUAUAUUAUAUUUCUUUAGCCUCAUUUCAUUUUUGGAGAAAAAUGCAGAAAUGGCUAGAGGAAGACAGUAUUACAAAUUUUGACACAAAACUUACAGGGCAAUAUAUUGUUGUAUCGAUUUUUCCCUCUAUUCUCCGGCAAGAGUGCAAUGUCACAUGACUGGUUUCGGCCCACGUCUUUUAACUCCUGUUAGGUCAAAUAUGAGUUUGUAAGUGGAGAAUAUGAAAUAGAAUAAAGCAAAUCAUACAGUCCUGGAGAUAACAUAAUAACAUGAAAAUAUAUACACUAGCUAUUGUUUAUGAAUGCCUAGUACUCAACAUGCAUUAGCCCUGAUCCCCACAACAGCCCCACAAGGGAGGUGGUGGUCUCACUAUUUUACAGGUGAGGCUCAGUCAGGAUAACUGAUGUGCCCCAGGUCACCCAAGUGGCAAACCUGAGAAUCAGUUCCAAAAGCUACGUGCUUUUUGCGAAACCACGGCAUCUUCCAGCCAAGCAAAUGGCCAGGCUGAAUAUCUGACAGCUUUAGGUCUGCAUUUGAGAUUUGUUAAUUCUUCCUUACUAUCUGAUCCAGGUAGCCCUUGGUUUGCUGUGUUAUUCUGGAGCUCAAGCUGGCCUCUAAGAUUAGAUGGUAUAUUCUAUUCAGGGCAUAGUUUAGGCAUAAAAGAGUGCUCAGCUGAGAUUCUAA